CCUACGGGUGGCAGCAGUGAGGAAUAUUGGUCAAUGGGCGAGAGACUGAACCAGCCAAGUCGCGUGAGGGAAGACGGUCCUACGGAUUGUAAACCUCUUUUGUCAGGGAGCAAGGAGCGCCACGAGUGACUCGUCGAGAGUACCUGAAGAAAAAGCAUCGGCUAACUCCGUGCCAGCAGCCGCGGUAAUACGGAGGAUGCGAGCGUUAUCCGGAUUUAUUGGGUUUAAAGGGUGCGCAGGCGGGAGCGGAGAGUCAGGGGUAAAAGUCCGGGGCUCAACCGCGCCGGGCCGUUGAAACUGAUCUUCUAGAGUGGGCGAGAAGUAUGCGGAAUGCGUGGUGUAGCGGUGAAAUGCAUAGAUAUCACGCAGAACUCCGAUUGCGAAGGCAGCAUACCGGCGCCCAACUGACGCUCAUGCACGAAAGCGUGGGUAUCGAACAGGAUUAGAUACCCUAGUAGUC
rnacentral:rRNA from 1 species